AACGAACGCUGGCGGCAUGCCUAACACAUGCAGGUCGAACGAGACCUUCGGGUCUAGUGGCGCACGGGUGCGUAACGCGUGGGAAUCUGCCCUUGGGUUCGGAAUAACAGUUAGAAAUGACUGCUAAUACCGGAUAAUGACGUAAGUCCAAAGAUUUAUCGCCCAAGGAUGAGCCCGCGUAGGAUUAGCUUGUUGGUGAGGUAAAGGCUCACCGAGGCGACGAUCCUUAGCUGGUCUGAGAGGAUGAUCAGCCACACUGGGACUGAGACACGGCCCAGACUCCUACGGGAGGCAGCAGUGGGGAAUAUUGGACAAUGGGCGAAAGCCUGAUCCAGCAAUGCCGCGUGAGUGAUGAAGGCCUUAGGGUUGUAAAGCUCUUUUACCCGGGAUGAUAAUGACAGUACCGGGAGAAUAAGCCCCGGCUAACUCCGUGCCAGCCGCCGCAGUAACAC
rnacentral:rRNA from 1 species